GACGAACGCUGGCGGCGUGCUUAACACAUGCAAGUCGAACGGAAAGGCCCUGCUUUUGUGGGGUGCUCGAGUGGCGAACGGGUGAGUAACACGUGAGUAACCUGCCCUUGACUUUGGGAUAACUUCAGGAAACUGGGGCUAAUACCGGAUAGGAGCUCCUGCUGCAUGGUGGGGGUUGGAAAGUUUCGGCGGUUGGGGAUGGACUCGCGGCUUAUCAGCUUGUUGGUGGGGUAGUGGCUUACCAAGGCUUUGACGGGUAGCCGGCAUGAGAGGGUGAACGGCCACAUUGGGACUGAGAUACGGACCAGACUCCUACGGGAGGCAGCAGUGGGGAAUCUUGCACAAUGGGCGGAAGCCUGAUGCAGCAACGCCGCGUGCGGGAUGACGGCCUUCGGGUUGUAAACCGCUUUCGCCUGUGACGAAGCGUGAGUGACGGUAAUGGGUAAAGAAGCACCGGCUAACUACGUG
rnacentral:rRNA from 1 species